ACGAACGCUGGCGGCGUGCUUAACACAUGCAAGUCGUACGGUAAGGCCCUUUCGGGGGUACACGAGUGGCGAACGGGUGAGUAACACGUGAGUAACCUGCCCACAACUUUGGGAUAACGCUAGGAAACUGGUGCUAAUACUGGAUAUGUGCUCCUGCUGCAUGGUGGGGGUUGGAAAGCUCCGGCGGUUGUGGAUGGACUCGCGGCCUAUCAGCUUGUUGGUGGGGUAGUGGCCUACCAAGGCGGCGACGGGUAGCCGGCCUGAGAGGGUGACCGGCCACAUUGGGACUGAGAUACGGCCCAGACUCCUACGGGAGGCAGAAGUGGGGAAGAUUGCACAAUGGGCGCAAGCCUGAUGCAGCAACGCCGCGUGCGGGAUGACGGCCUUCGGGUUGUAAACCGCUUUCAGCAGGGACGAAGCUUUUUGUGACGGUACCUGCAGAAGAAGCACCGGCUAACUACGUG
rnacentral:rRNA from 1 species